UUGCACAAUGGGCGCAAGCCUGAUGCAGCCUGCCGCGUGUGUGAAGAAGGCCUUCGGGUUGUAAAGCACUUUCAGUCAGGAGGAAAGGUUAGUAGUUAAUACCUGCUAGCUGUGACGUUACUGACAGAAGAAGCACCGGCUAACUCCGUGCCAGCAGCCGCGGUAAUACGGAGGGUGCGAGCGUUAAUCGGAAUUACUGGGCGUAAAGCGUACGCAGGCGGUUUGUUAAGCGAGAUGUGAAAGCCCCGGGCUCAACCUGGGAACUGCAUUUCGAACUGGCAAACUAGAGUGUGAUAGAGGGUGGUAGAAUUUCAGGUGUAGCGGUGAAAUGCGUANAGAUCUGAAGGAAUACCGAUGGCGAAGGCAGCCACCUGGGUCAACACUGACGCUCAUGUACGAAAGCGUGGGGAGCAAACGGGAUUANAUACCCCGGUAGUCCACGCCGUAAACGAUGUCUACUANAAGCUCGGAGCCUCGGUUCUGUUUUUCAAAGCUAACGCAUUAAGUANACCGCCUGGGGAGUACGGCCGCAAGGUUAAAACUCAAAUGAAUUGACGGGGGCCCGCACAAGCGGUGGAGCAUGUGGUUUAAUUC
rnacentral:rRNA from 1 species